UUCAUUAAUCAGGAACGAAAGUUAGGGGAUCGAAGACGAUCAGAUACCGUCGUAGUCUUAACCAUAAACUAUGCCGACUAGGGAUCGGACGAUGUUAUUUAGUUGACUCGUUCGGCACCUUACGAGAAAUCAAAGUGCUUGGGCUCCAGGGGGAGUAUGGUCGCAAGGCUGAAACUUAAAGAAAUUGACGGAAGGGCACCACCAGGGGUGGAGCCUGCGGCUUAAUUUGACUCAACACGGGGAAACUCACCAGGUCCAGACACAAUGAGGAUUGACAGAUUGAGAGCUCUUUCUUGAUUUUGUGGGUGGUGGUGCAUGGCCGUUCUUAGUUGGUGGAGUGAUUUGUCUGCUUAAUUGCGAUAACGAACGAGACCUUAACCUGCUAAAUAGCCCGCAUUGCUUAGGCAGUGCGCCGGCUUCUUAGAGGGACUAUCGGCUCAAGCCGAUGGAAGUUUGAGGCAAUAACAGGU
rnacentral:rRNA from 1 species